rnacentral:snoRNA from 1 species
AAAGCAGGCUGCAAUUGCAGUGCUUCAGUCUGUGGGAGCACUGCCAUGUCCCUGCUGAGAGCAACUCUGUGACUCAGAAUUUGGUUUCUCUUCUGUGCUGGAGAAAUCACUCUUUGAACAGUGACAGGCACUG